GUUGUGGUUGGAGUCAUGUAUGUUUUUUAUGUAGCUUAAGUUCAUUACUUUAACUUUGCAAACAUUUCCUUCCACAAGCUGCUUGUUCAUUCCGUUGGCUGACUUGGCUGUGCGGAAGCUCUGUUGUGGGUGGUCAUGUUUAUUUAUAUCUGCUUUUGUUGCCAGUCUUUCACAAAGCAGGGGAAGAGUUAUGGCUGGGGUCAUGGAAGUUUUCUCCUGCACCCCGUUCUAGUUUGAUGGUUUUAGAUUUUUACAUCUAGGAAUGGAUUCCUGUAUCCAGUAUAAGGUAAGACUGUCUCAUGCUUUGGUAUGUAGUUAUCCAUUUUAAACAACACAUUUCUUAAGAAAACUAUCAGCCAGGAGGGGCAGCACACACCUGUAAUCUUAGGAAAAGGGAUCAUGAGUUUGAGACCAUUCUGGGUUAUAAGAAAGAGAGAUGGAGGUGAGGGGAAACACUUCUCUGUUGUAUCUUCUUGAUGGCCUUGUUGAAGAUCUGUUAGCUUUAUAUAGUUGGGGUUUUGUUCCAUUGGCCUGUGUGUCUGUUUUUAUGACAGUAAGAAAUGUCUUGACUACUGUAACUUUUAAAUAUAAAUUAUAAUCACAAAACAUAAUGCCUUUUUUUCUUCUCUCUCAAGAUUUCUUCAGUUAUUUGGGCUCGUGUGACCCACUUUUUGAUGGAGACAAUGGUGAAUUCGUGGGCUAUACCUCUGGUCUAUCACCUUCUCUCCAAUGGCAUUUCUUAGCUUUCCUCUCUUCAUCUGUGAGCAUCAGUGGCAUUAACCUUGCUCUGCAGAUGGGGAAGCAGAAACUGUGUCCUAAGGCAGGGAGGGGUGUGGUCUGAGUCAAAGGCAACUUUCUCUAUGUGGAUGGCUGCUUCAAGGCAAGCUGCCUUAGCAGGUAAAGAACAAAGAACACAGAGUGACGAGUCUUUGGACUCCCUUCCACUGUGUCACAUCACCUGAGGUCUUUCACCUUUACAGUUGUGCCACGUAUGUUCUUAGGGUGGCUUUGAAAACAGAGCUGGUUUUAUGAGAUCCGUAAAUUGUCUAUAAAAUGUAAGUCUUGAGUAAUGUGGUUAAAUGGUUACUCUUCCAGUGCCGUGGAUGCCUCCCCAGCCAGGACAGAAGCUUGAGAUCUAAUACUGUUAUUCAGGGAUGUUAGAGGAUGGGAUGACAUGGUUGAAAUGAAUUCCUGGAACUUCACUGCCAUUUCUCCCAUUUCUGUUUCCAUACUGUUUCUUGGGGUUCUUUAGAGGAGAACUGAUGGACAGACGGGAUAAUAUAUUGAAACUGGAUUUAGUAAACUGACUGAUACAAGAUGGUCAGAUAGUCCCACAAUGGCCAUCUCACACUGGAGAAGUCAAGAAUCCCAUCGUUGCUUAGUUCAUGAGGUUGGACGCUUUAGUAGUCCCAAUUUGGUGCUGAAGGCCUGGAGCGAUCCUGGAGGGUUGCCAGUCUUCAUUGUACCUGGGAAUCCUGAAGAAGCUGGUUCUAGUAUCAGUGAUGGAAUAGAGCAAGGGCAGUGAUAGGAUAGAUGAGCUUGCCAACAAAAGUAAGGCAAACAGAAACAAACCAAAACAAAAAAACCCUAUUUCCUGACUUCUAUGUGGAUUCCAGAGAUCAAACUUAAGUCUUCAGACCUGGUAUGCACUCCUCAGACUGAGAAUAUCCUCAGCCCAGAUUCUUUGUUUUUAGCUGGGAAAUAUUUUAUUCUUUAGGGAUGAUAGACAGAGGCAUUUUGAAUAUUAUAGUUUUCUUUUUUUUUCUUUUUCUUUUUUCUCUUUUUCGGAGCUGGGGACUGACUCAGGGCCUUGGCUUGCUAAGCAAGCAUUCUACCACUGAGCUAAAUCCCCAACCCCUAUAGUUUUCUUAUAAGGACAAUUUCAUUAGUGUCUGACUGGCUUUCUCUAAGUCCCUCAGUUUCAGAUUUUCCUUCUUCUGUGAGUAGAUGCCAAAUACUAUUAUGAUAGUUAAUCUCGGUUGUCAACUUGAAUGGACCUAGAAUGAACUAAAAGGCAUGAUACUGGGCAUUCUCAAGAAUUUUCUUAGAUUACUUGAAGCAGGAAGCCCCACCCUAAAUGUGGGAAGCACCUCCUGUGGCAGACCAGAGAAAAGGAAGGUGCAAAAGGAAAGAAAAGUGUAGUUGGAUGUGGUGGCUCAGGCCUUUAAUCCCAGCACUUGGGAGGCAGAGGCAGGCAGAUGAUGAUGAGUUGGAGGUCUACAUGUCAAUUUCCAGGCCAGACUCUGUCUCAAAAAAAAUGUAAGAUAUGAUGUGAUAUAACCCCAGUUGUGUAGAGAGGGAGACAGGUAGAUCCUCAAGCUUCUUGGAUAGCCAGCUCCUUAGCCAGAAGAUAACUCAAAUGGCCUCAGGAAGUUCCUGAAACUAAUCAAGUUCACUAGGUCCCACCCUCCCAAGAGUAAGCAAAGAAGAUUCAGACAAGAUAACCACAAAGAAGAGACUGAGACAGGACCAGCUUCCUAGAAGAAACAGAGACCAAGACAUUUGGGAAGGACACGCUCCAAACUUUUGAGCUGACUACAGGCUGUGCAAUGUGCUCCAGGUUCUUGACUUUUCUGAGCUGUCACCUGUGCUGUGGUAAACUUUGGUGAUGCAACUGUCCUUAAAUCAUUUCUGCUUUUGUAAGUAACCUCUCACCCAUAUUCCUUUAACUAAGCCCAAUAAAACUUAUGGUUCACCAAUUGUACUUUGGUGAUAUCCGUACUAUGGUAUGUCAAGAGUGUCCUAUGUGGGGGGUGGGGAUGGGGAGGAAUAGAUGUGUGUGUUAUAUCUCCCCAGGAAAGUCUUGUCAGAUAACAAUGGCCUAACCUAAUUGCUAAGUUCAGGUUCACUGACAGACACUGUCAAAAUUCAGUUGAUGGCUCUUUGUGAUGGCACAUGUUUGAACACUUGGUCCCAGUUGGUGGUGCUGUUUGGGGAGAUUUUGGAACCUCUAGGAAGUAGAGUUUUCCUGAAGGAAGGACAUAACUGGAGGAGGUCUAUGAGAGUAUAUAGCUUGUUCCACAUCUAGUUCACUUUCUGUGCUUCUUGUGUGUAGCUGGCUUUCUCACCACCACAAUGGGUGUCCCUCUGGGGACAAAAUAAAUACUGUAGUCUUGAAGUUGUUCUUGAUCAUGGUUAUUUUAUCACAGCCACAGAAAAGGAAUAUGAUAAGGAACAACAGCAAAGGUUGACCUCAGAUCUCCCACACAGACAUAGACACAGAGGCACACAUAGACAUACACACAGACACAUACACAUAGACACACGAAUACAUAUGUAGACACAGACACACACAUAGACACAAAGACGCACAUGUAGACACACAUACAGACACACAUAGAGACACAUAUACACACAAGACAUUCACAGACACAGAGACACACAGUCACGUACACAGACACAUAGAGAGAGAGACACACAGACACACACAGAGACACAGACACACACACACAGACACACACACAGACACACACACAGACACACACAUAGACACACACACACAGAGACACACUCACAGAUAUAGACACAUAGACACACAGACACACAGACACAGAGACAUACACAUAUGUGUAUAUAUAUACAUUUACACACAGACACAUUUACACACAGACAUACCUAGAAACACACACGCACAUAAGGAAUCUUGUGAUUAGAACAUGUCAAAAAGGAAAACAUCUUUUAGCCACACAUAAAGGCAAAAAUAAGCCCAGUGGUCUGUUUGCUUUAUUUAGUCUUUGAUAGAAAUAACCGUUUGGUUAUAGUUUUGUUCUGCUCUUCCAGGCAUCCAGACGUCUGGUGCACAUGCUGAAUUCCCAGAGCCUGUCUGGAGACAUGGGCGGGCUCUGCUCCCCUGACAUCUUUCCCCAGAAGCCUUUCUGUUUCUCCCUCUUUUUCCCUCCUGGAUUCUUCAGCAAAAAGGCUUACAGCUUGAGAGGGCAAAGUUUCUAGUUUACAAUCCCUGCUUCCCCCAGUGUUAAGGGCAUAUCAAGCCGUGCUUAAUGCAUGAGAAGGCUUAAUGAAACUUAGCAUUUUGGUUCUUGACGACUGGCCAGUUCACACGCCACUGACUCCCAAAGGAUUCAUAGUAAGUCUUUAACUUGACCCUUAGAAAGCAUUUAAGAAAAUUCAGGGAACCCAUCAAAACAAAACCCACAACCAGAUGCUGAGCUGUGAGCUAUGAGCAGCAGGCAUGUACUGGUCAAGGAAUUAGAUUACUCAAGGUGGUGACUCAUUCAGCAACUAUGUAGUGUUUGUGGUCGGGGAAACCUUCGCCAGAACAUGACUAAAAUCUAUUGGCAGCUUCUUAAAAGGAAUCAUGACGGGGCCUAAACCAAUGAGUAUGUAAGUGUGCUGUUUUUUUUUUCUUUUCUUUCUUCUUCUGUGUUUUUCACUAAGUCAGAAUCAGAGUGUAAGAAAACACCAGCCCUCCUGACAUUGGCUAUUAUAGAAUAGUCUAUGGAACAUUCCCAACAGCUACCCAGUGGGGCCAGGACACGUAUGUAUGUGUGUGUGUGUGUGUGUGUGUGUGUGUGUGUGUGUGUGUGUGCGCACGCGUGUGUGUAUGUGUAUGUGUAUGUAUGUGUUUAUGUGUAUGUGUGUUUGUUUUUGAGGUGUGUGGGAGGUGUGAGGGUGUUUUUUAUUUUGAGGUGUGUGUGUGUGUGUGUAUGUUUGUUUUUGAGGUUUGUUGGGAGGUGUGAGGGUGUUUUUUAUUUUGAAGUGUGUGUGUGUGUGUGUGUGUGUGUGUGUGUGUGUGUGUGUGUGUGUUUGUAUGUGUGUUGACAAUGACCAAGAUUGUAAUGGGCAAAGAAAUCAGAUUUAAACAAACUGUUAAAGAUAUGCUCUGGGUAAUUUACUUUUUUACAUUUAUUAAUUAAUUUAGUGUGUACAUGUUUGUUUGCAUGUGUCGGGCACACCUGGAGAUCAGAGAACAACUCCGACAGUCAGUUGGAUCUCUUCUUUCACCACAUGGUUCUGAGGACCAAAGUCAGGCUCAGUGAGUGUCCUGUCAACACCAGGGCACGAAAGAAAGAAGAUGCCACCCACCGGAUCAGUGAUUGAGACAGGACACAGGAAAAUUAGCGAUACAGGUGAGGUAGGAAAUGAUUGGCAAAACUUGGAAAAAAUUUGCUUAUGGAUCUUAUGUUUUGAGAAAGGCUGAGCCCAGCAGCUGCCCCAUACUCCUGGGGCAGCAGAGGGAAUAAUGUGGGUGUUAGUGUGGCUAACGCAGUAGAGUGGGUUAUGUAAACCAGGAUGGCCAUGAUCAGCAGACAGAUGCCAGUGUUGGCAUAGUCAAAAAGAAAGAGUAGAAGAAAGCAGGUCACAAUGAGUGCAGUUCCGGGCCCCAGUAAGGUGUCAUCCUUGCAGUUGAAGUUCUUUAUCCCUGACUCCAGACACAAAAGAACAUCUGGCAUUGAAAAUGCAUGACCAGGAAGUGUAAUAACCCACCCCUUCAGUAGGGACCCAUGUGUCUAUCCAUGAAGCCUGUUCAUUACUGUGGGGACUACUGCCAAUAUGAUAUGUGUGUGUGGGGGGGGUUGUAUGUGUAUGGGGGUGAGUCUAUAAGGGUGUGAUGUAGUAGUUAUGUGUGUGUGUGUAUGUAUAUGUGGUAUGGUGUGUAUGUAUGUAAUGCCCAUGUGUGUGAGUGAAGUUAUAGUGUGGUGUAUAUGUGUAUGGUAUGCUGUGUGUGUGUAUGUGUCUGUGAGUAUAUAUGAGUGUGUGGAUGUGUGAGUAUGUAUGUAUGUAUGUAUAUGUGUGUUUUAUGUAUAUGUGUGUAUAAGUGUGUGUAGGUUUGUAUAUGUGUAUGUAUGAGUCUGUGUGGCUGUGUGUGCAUGUAUGUGUGGUAUAGUGUAUAUGUGUGUAGUACGUGUGUGUGUGUGUGUGUGUGUGUGUGUGUUGAGGUAUAUAGGGCAUGCUGUGUGUAUGCUGUAGUGCAUAUGUGUGUGUGGUGUGUCUGUGUGAGUUAAUGGGCACACAAUCAAACUUAUACAACUUGCCAGAGGCUCUUGUUCCUGUCCCCUGAUUAGAUUAGAGGCUCAAUAAGAGAAAGGCAGUGUUCCUGGAGCAUCCACAGGGUAAGCUGACAGGAGGAAGUGAGUUGAAACUCUAAAGUGGCAGCUCUGAUUUUUCUCUGUGGGGGCAGCUUUUGUGGGAGUCACCAUAACCAAAAAUUUCCUUGCACACAGAUGAAUUUUGAACAAGUUCAUUCGUUAGGAACCUGGAUAUCUCUUGACUUUCUGUCAUAAUUGUGUGUCACUUUAAAGUCUUUCUAGCUCCCCGGGGUUUUAAGUACAAUGAAUCUACACUAGCACAGCCCUUUCCAAUAGAUCCAGAGCCUUAGACAUCAUAAAACUUUAUAGCAGAAAGUGACCUUGGAAAUGAUCUAUUUCAAUGCUUCAUUUCACAGAGAGGGAAAUUGAGUUAUCCAGGGGUUAAAUGACUUGUCAAAGGUUAGCGUUCAGGAAGAGGCAGAAGCAGGCUUUAAUCUCAUUUCCUGACCCCCUUUGUCUACCAAAAUCAUGUGUGAUGCUCCCAGAGCCGGGCUGUAAACUAACGAAGAAGGAUCUUGCUCCAAGUAGAACGCUGAAUCGUGAGCGACCCUGUGUGUGGGGCAGUAGUCUCUGGUAUAUAUUCAAAGCGUAUGCUAAUGACCACUUUUCUAUUCUUGGGCAGUUCUGAAAUUUCGAAGGAUUCAAACAGCUGCCUAUAGAACGGAAAGGGAGCCACGGGUUCUUUAGGGAAGGGAGAAGAGGUGUGUCCUUAGGUCUACCCUGUGUCCCCUUUGUCCACUUACCAGUCGUUAACAAUGUAUACAUUGUAUCUUCCAGAGAAUAGUGUGCAUGGUCUGUUGGCGUUGGAAGAUAUAAUUUAUACAUUGAAGAAAUAAAGAACUCCUCUCAGAUUUCCAGUACCCAUCUUUCACAAGCGCACACAUACACACACACCCUACAUGGUCUUAGCAUUGUCUCUGAUUAAGUCAGACCCCUGAAGUUCACGUUGUCUCAAGAGAAAUGUGCUUCCGACUUCGGAGGUUAAGUCUAAAGGAAAUUGAGUGUGUUUGCUUGAUUUUAGCAGUUUGACCUCUGAGUAUAUGGUCAGCAGGACGGGGAGGUAGGAGCAGGCCGCACACAAGCCGAAUUAAAACGAAGCCCUGGCAUCACUCAGGAAAGCCUUCUCCCACCUGCUUUUCAUUUCCUCUAGUUAUUUCUGGUAAUGAAGGUUGGAACUGCAGCUAUAUAUUUUGAGGUCUUGAAGGUCUAUAUAUUUUUUUCCUAUACAAUAUGCUAGUGAUUAAAUAUAUGUCUCUGUUGUUCACAGAAAAAGACAAGGCCUAACUGUUCUUGAAAACACCUUAAAGGGCAUUUCCUUAAAGAUUGACCACACCUGCCUUUCAACUUGGCCUUUCGUACGAAUCUACCUGGAUGUCUGCCUGCCACAGUGCAGCCUUCCAACUUGGCCAUUGUCAUCCAAGAUUUUCUUUAUCAUUCUGAAUGCUGACUUUGGCUUUCAUGAACGGCCAAAAUGACAACUUGGAAUAAUAAAGUCCACUCAUUUUUAAAUAUGGCGGGAGACGUCUCAGGAAGAUUGAGGGCAUUCGGAUGGGAAAGCAGCCCUUCCUGAACUCACUUCUUCUUGGACUUUUAAUUCUCCAGUCAUCCCUCAGGCAGGAAUGAUGUCUGUAUCAGAAGAAUGGAAUGCAUGGCAGUAUUGGAGCCCUCCCUUGGGAGCUUUUAGCAUAAUUUGUGAUUGAGUUCAAGCCUGGAAUUUGUCCCGGCCCCUAAUCAAUCCUUAGGUAUUUCUGUUCUCUUCAUGUUCGUGGGGCAGGCUGCCCAUCUUGUUAUGGCCUUCCCUUGACAUUCUGAAAUACAACGUAUUGAUUGUCACUUUGCUCUCCCCUGUCUGGUAGCUUUGUAGACUCUCACCGAUGAGAGGGGAUCUGUACUAUGUAUUCACCUGCACAAGAGUUGCAUUCUUGGGAUUCACAUUGGUUCGAGUGUCUGCUGUGCCCAGAAAUCCUGAGAGGCAGUCAGCCCAGCCCCACCCUGCAAUCUGAUGUCUAUAUAUUAUGAAGGGGAAAGAAGAGGGCACUUGGAUAUAUGCAUCUGCUUGCAAUUUCCUAAUGGAAUCUGGCAGAAGAGCCUUGCAAUAGGAUAGGUUCCAGUAAAAAGUGCAUUCACAGAAGCAGUUCCCUGGGGCUUGACACCUAUUUGCCCUUUGAGAGCAUUGGGGAGAUGAAUCAUGGAAUGAGUCAGCGUUGGGUCAGCAAAGACUAGUGCUCUGAUGGGGGAGGGAGGGGAGGACUCUAAUUGUGUCCGUUUUAAUCAGAGCAUAUGCUUAGAGGAAGAAUCGAGGCAAGCAAGGUCCUGGAGGGGGAAACAUUUAAUUAUCAAAGACCAGGACUUCUGUAUCAUGCUGGGUCUUGGUGCUGCAGUUGCGGGAGAAGGCUGCACUAGAAAUUAUCUUAAAGGAGAAAGCAUGGUGCUGGAGCACGGAGCUGCCACUGAGACUAGAAGAGAACAGAUUUGAGGAGUAGAGGUCUUCCCUCUCAGAGGACCACUCUCAGGUGUGGCAAGCAUCUCGAGGCUAGAAAUACAACUCGGAAGGGUUUCUCCGCCUUCAUCUGUGUCAGUGUCUUUGGGUCUCCCCUGCCCCCUGCGUCUAAGUGGACCAGGGCUAUAAAUUUGAGCCAGGGAUGUCAAAGUAAACUUUCAAAAGCCUCUUGUGUGCCCCACCAUACCAUUCCCUUAUUAUUUCCAGCCUCACUUUAGGUCCCAGGCAGUGGGCUCAACGGUCAUGUUUUGACAUUGUGCCUUAAUAAACCUUCCUCCCCCUGGGUUGCUUAUGUCAGGUAUUUUGCUACAGAGAUGAGAUCCAAACAUUUACUUUCUUCAAAAAGAUGAGCGUUUUGUCAUUUUUUCCCCUCAGCAAUUCCUGACAGGUAUAAAUAAGGACCAUAUUUGUUUAUGGUUCACGUAAACAGCAUGCCUAAGUGUAGAUUCUUGGUUAGGGAUACUUCCUUUUUCCAAAUAUUACGUUUAUCUCUUUAACUUCAUAUGCAUGCUAUUUGCACAUUAACUCCCGACUUCUUUCCCCGUCUGAUUCCAGGUCCCCCCUUCUCCUUUCUCUCAAGUUCAUGGGCUCUUUUUUCUUUGUCAGUAACACACACUGAUUGUCUUACUUAGGGUUGUUAUUGCUGUGACGAUGAUACUGUGAGCAAGGUAAGGUGGGGAAGAAAGGGUUUAUUUGACUUACAUUUACAUAAUCUAUCAUCAAAUGUAGUAAGGGACGGAAUCUGGAGGUAGGAGAUGAUGCAGAGGCCACGAAGGGGUGGUACUUAUUAGCUUGCUCACUUUGGCUAGCUCAAUCUGCUUUUUUGAUAGAACCCAGGACCCCCAGACCCGGGGAUGGCACCGUGCACAAUGGCUUGUGUCCUGCCCUAUUAAAACUCUGGUUAAGAAAAUGCCUCACAGGUUUGCCUACAGCCAAAUCUUUGGGGACACUUUCUUAAUUGAGGUUCCUUGCUCUCAGAUGACUUUAGCUUGUGUCACAACACACAUCAACACACACACACCACACCACACACAUAUACCACACACACACACACCCACACAUCACACACCCCCCCCACACACACAUAAAUAAAUAUAUAAUUAUACCAUGCUGAGUUUAUUUAGUUUUCUUUGUACAUAUGUUCUUUUUAGGAUUGACCAGUUGGCAUUGGAUAAUCGAUUAUGAGCUCAUCCCUGGAGAAGAGUAUCUCUUUCUCAUCUGUCAAUUUCCUGUAGCUCUUCACUAGGGGUUCGGUCCUGUGAGAUUCCCCCAUCCAUGUUGGAACAUGAACUGCUGUUGUCCUUGUUUAGGGCCUAUGUAGGCAGCCAUAUUGUCGGGAUUACUUGGGUGCUGCGUUUCUGCCCUAAUAUCCUGGUUCUCUGCCUUUCAUCCUUACAGUCCAGAGGUCCUUACAAUCUUCUUGUCCCAUCUCACACAAUGCUCUCAUGUGUGGGAGCUGUGCCAUAGAUGCAUCAGCUGGAGCUGGCCAGAGCCUCCCUGUGUGAGUAAAUGCACUUGAAGCCGCAAUUAGGUUCCUCUCACUGUAUCAGAGGUGUGAUGUCACAGCACUUUCCAAUGACCGCUCAUUCUGGUUAUGAACAGACCCAGUCUUCCUUAUAUCAGUGUGCAUUAUGUUUUUGAGGCCCCCCCAACACUUCCCCUGAGGAAUUUUCAAGAGAAUGGUGGAAAGAAAUACAUUUAAAAGGAGAUCCCAAUUGUUGAAAGAGAGGCUUCACCCAGCACCUGAGGGGAACAGAUGCGGAGACCCACAGCCAAACAUUAGUCAGAGCUUAGGGAAUCCUGCAGAAGAGGGGGAGGAAGUUGUAGGAGCCAGAGGGGUCAAAGGUACCAUAAAAAACAGUCUACAGAAUCAACUAACCAGGGCUCAUAGGGGCUCAUGGAGACUGAGGCAACAGUCAGGGAUCCUUAUAGAUCUGACCUAGGUAUUCUGCUGAAAUGUUAUGGUGUUCUUGUGGGAUUCCUAACAGUGGGAAUGGAGAUGACUGUCUCUGGCUCUUUUGCCUGCUCUUGGGACCCUUUCCUCCUGCUGGGUUACCUUGUCUAGUCUUGAUGUGAGGGUCUGUGCCUGGUCUUGUGACUUGCUAUGCCAUGCUCGGCUGAUAUCCCUUAGAGGCCUGUUCCUUUCUGAAAGGAAAUGGAGGAGUGAAUCUGGGGCAUGGUAGGGAUGGUGGGGAGGGACUGGGAGGAGUGAGGGAGGGAAAACUGCUAUUGGGAUGUUAUAUAAAAGAGAAGAAUAGAUUUUUUUUAAAAAGGAGGUCCAGUCUAACAUGAUUUGGAAGAGAGUCACCUGACCUCAUGAAUAUACCAUUCACUUAAUAAAUAUUCAUUAAAACAGUUUUAAAACCCACAACACAGAACCCAAAGCACUUAGUUCACCCUGCCCAUUGCAGUCUUUCUCUGGAGUAUACUGUCUGUCUUAGUUAGGGUUUUACUGCUGUGAACAGACCAUGACCAAGGCAAGUCUUAUAAGGACAACAUUUAAUUGGGGCUGGCUUACAGGUUCAGAGGUUCAGUCCAUUAUCAUCAAGGUGGGAGCAUGGCAGCAUCCAGGCAGGCAUGGUGCAGGAGGAGCUGAGAGCUCUACAUCUUCAUCUGAAGGCUGCUAAUGGAGUUCCAGGCAGCUAGGAUAAGGCCCACACCCACAGUGACACACCUACUCCAACGUGGACACACUUUCAAUUAGUGCCACUCCCUGGGCCAAGCAUAUACAAAUCAUUACACUGUCCUUAAUUUGCUAUGUGUCUUGGCCGAAUUAUUUUCCUUCAAUAACAUAAGAAGCAAAAACCUCCUUUUCCAUUUCUUCCAACUAGUACUCGGGAUGUGUUAUCAAGACUACUGCCUAGAGCUUAGAAACAAGGGGAGGUGUCUGUGGGCCAUUCAAGUUUGUUCUCAAGUAUUAGUUAGCAAGCUAAGCUGAGAUUCAACUGGAGACCAGAGGAAGGAAACACAGGCUUACUAAAUUUACUACGAGGAAGCUGAGGUGCUAAGGGAUUAACACUCACGUGGUGAACAGUGAGCAUUGGAGUUGACUUUAGAGGCCAGAGUCAAGGUGUCUGGCCACUUUACUGCAUUCCUCCCCACCCGACAGUGACCUCAUCAUUGAACUUACCAACAGCCAGCUGAGGAAGUCGGAAGGAAUAUCGUUACACAUCGUUGCUAGCUGCGGUCCCUGCAGAUGACAUUUUUCUGUUAAAAGGAACUGUAUGACUGUAUGACAUCUCAGGGUGCACAUAAACUAAUCCCGGGGGGAGGGAGGGAGUGUCCCAGUUCAGUGAGGCUCAUCCAGAAGGCAGUGGAAGCUGACCUCAGAGAGAGGUUUGCUCGCACUGUAGGUCUGCAUGACCUCAGGUGUACGCUGCUUAAUUCGUGGUUGGGCCUCCUGUGUUAGCAAACGCUGUUUUCAGGAAAUAACGGCCAGCCUUCUAUUGACUUGCAUGUGUUCUUUCUCUUUGACAGGGAGGAGGUUGUAUGAAGAGUUGAAGAAUAAGGACCUCACCCUGCAAGCCACGGCUGCUUUUAGAGCUGUAGAGGGGCUCCCACCUGCACACGUGCACCUGUGCGCCCUUAUGGCUGUCAAAUCCCCACUAAGUACCCCACUAAACAAGUGACACGGUCCAGUCUGCAACCUCUGUGGAGAAGAGUGGGGUUUGGCCACAGAGGGAAUCCUGCUAGAAUCAGAAGGAAGAAACCAGGAAAAAAGGUACAUUCAAGAAAGGGGAGUUUGUCUAUUUGAGGGAAGUAGGCAGUCUCUCUGGCCCUUGGGCGAUUUUUAAGGGUUACAUCUGUGUGUUACCCACACAUUCCACAACCGAUUCUUGUGAUGAGCAUACAUCUUUGGGGAAAAGGUUAUGGCCUUAGUGCAAGAUGGCGUCCUUGAGAGCAACACGGAGAGGAUCCCGAGAAAAGCCAGAGUGUCUUAUUGGGGCUCUGCCUAGCAACACCUGACCCACUAUCUGGGCUGAGCGUGAUUAAGCCAGGGAUUCAUUUUCAGGAAACAAUACCCUCAGACUUGUUCUCUGGGUCCUGGAGGAGGUGAAGCAUCCCUUUUAGAAAAGAGGACAAGUCAUCUACUGUAUAUAGUGGGGUGCUUUUAUAGAAAUGAGUCCUUGCUAACAUGUUUUGAGGUAAAAAUCAGACCUUAUUACAAUUAUUAUCACUGUCUCUGUCUGUCUGUCUCUCUCUGUGUGAGUGUCUAUGUAUGUGUGUGUGUGUGUGUGUGUACAUGUACACAUAUAUGUGUGACAGAUCAAGUUACCCUGCAACUCUACAUGUAGCUUAAGUUGGCCUCGAACAUCUGGCAAUCCUCCUGCUUCAGCCUCUCAAGUGCUAGGAUCACAGACAUGAGUUUCCAUGCUUGGCACACCUUUCCUUUUCUUUUUCUUUUCUAAAUAGAAUCUUUCACACAUAUGUGUGCAACACUGUGCUUUUACUACAUCCGCAUUUAGUUUUUCAAUGUUCCACAUUAAGUUAGCUUGCAGUUAAGUGUCUACACUGAUGACUAGUAUCUACCGAGCACAUUCUACACCCCGGAUACCAUCCAUGCAUUAACUCCACGAGCAGGGGGGCCUGUUAUUGUAUUAAUUUUAUGUGUGAUGAUAUCGAGACCCAGAGAGCUCAGCAAUGUUCCCACGUGUGACAGAAGCAGGGUGUGAGUCCAGCCGCUUAUUUUUCUUGUUACUUUUAAUUGUUCACAAUACAUCUCAAACACCGUCAAAUAGUUGCCUUGCCUGCUCUUUGAGACCGGGAGCAAGGGAACACUUGGAACGCACGGACAUCACACUGAGAUACCCACCCAGGGGCAACAGUCCUGUGAAUAAAUGUGUAACAACACAAACGGGGUGAGAACUUGCUGAGACGGCAUCUGUGCUCCGGGAUAGCUGGGGCUUUGUUGUUCUUUAAGCAGGCCACAUCUGGCUCUGGCAGCAAUUUUGAGAUGCUUUACAGUGACAUGUUCCGAAGUCUACCUUCUGUGUUCGCAUCACCUGAGCUCGAGGCCAGACCUGCUGGGGCUCCUCAAUGCCUUCAGUUCCAUGCCCUUCAGAAAGCCGAGUUCUGGAUCUCCAGACUCUCAUGGGUGACCCUGGACCCAGCCAGCGCUCCUGACUUCUGUGCUAGACCCUCUUCACAAUGAGUAUGUGGUUCCACAACUAUAUCUUUCUAUUACAGAUUAAUAAUUUAGGAUUCAGAUACCCAUUCUCACUUGAAAAUUAUUCUGUGAUAUGAAAAUCUACUUAUCUAUCCUCUACAGUCUGAAUCCAUCUAUCCCACCAAAUGCAUGAAAGUAUGGAAAUUCACAGACUUUCCAUUUUCUGUCUACACUUUUCUCUUUACAUUUUUUGGAGGGAGGUGCGCUUGUUGCAGCGUGUGUGUGGAGGUUAGAGACCUGGUGGAAGGAGCUCUUUCCUUUUACCAUGUGGGUCCGGGGAUCAAAUUCAAGUUGUCAAGCUUGCAGCAGGAGCCUCUCUGCCGGCCGAGCUUCUUCCCGACCCUGGCUCAGCGGUAUCUGAGAGAUGAUGAUGGUGAUGAUGAUGAUGGUGACGGUGAUGAUGAUGAUGAUGACGACGACGACGAUUAUUAUUAUUUUAGGUCUAGAACUAAUAAGGUCCUUUGAACUCAGCCCCAUUGACUUGGUCCAAAGUUAGUGGUCCGAUUUUUUCUUUUAACCUGACAUCUUAAAACUGGAGCUGUCCCUUCAAGGGGACCAGGUGAAGCUGAGCCUGAUGCCUCCCACCUGAGAAUGAGCAGCUAGGUACGCCUCCUCACAUCAGUGGUGCCAGCACUUGGGACUUUAAUAUUGUUAGGAUUUCCAGAAGUCUCUUUUUAGUGACUGAGAUCACCCAAGUUACUCCUUCACCGAGGAACAGGCCUCAGCAGCAUUUCCUUUUCCCUAAUACUAGCCCAUCCCACCUAACCCCACAUCUACUAGGGAUGGACGAACGUGGAAAGCACUUGCUACUCAAAGUGUGGUCCUCAGCCUGGACACCGGCAACAUCCAAAAGCUUCUUAGAAGUGCAAAAGGUCACACCCAUUCAUAGACUGAUGGAACAGAAGCUCUUUAAGGAUCCCAGGCACCCAGACCACAGCAAAAUAUUUCUUGUAACCCUUGGGACUGGAGAGAUGGUUCAGCCAUUAAGAAGGUGGACUGCUCUUACAGAGGGCCUGGCAGCUUACAAAUGCCUGUAACUCUAGGUCCAGCAGGACUGCGUGCCUUUGUGAGUGGACCCACACAUAUGGACACACACAACUGAGAAAAUAUUAAAAAUAGUUCUUGGGAUUCUGGAGCCAUUGUCCCUUUCUCCUUCUAUAGUUGCUCUGAGCACUUCCCGAAUUAAGCCUUGUACUGGAAUCUUUUGUGACCCUCUGAAGGUCAGGCAUUGGAUCCCUUCUGUCAGAGUGAGCCCUUGGACUACUGGACAGGUUUCGUUUUAGCGCUUUGCCGAUGUUUACUUACCUCUCGCUGUUCAAUAAGCGUCUUUGUGAGGACAAGGAAGAAACGGCAGGUACCUGAGAAGCUUCUGCACACAGCCAGAAAGGGUUUGAACGGAAAGCCUGCUCUGCAGCAUGGUUUACUUAAUAAAUGUUAAGUGAAAACAUUAAAUGUC